AUUGAACGCUGGCGGCAGGCCUAACACAUGCAAGUCGAACGAGUGGCGGACGGGUGAGUAAUGUCUGGGAAACCGCCUGAUGGAGGGGGAUCACUACUGGAAACGGUAGCCAAUACCGCAUACCAUCCGAGGCCCCCAUAUGGGUUUCGAUAGUAGGUGGGGUAAAGGCGCACCUCGGCGACGAUCCCUAGCUGUUCUGAGAGGAUGACCAGCCAGACUGGAACUGAGACACGGUCCAGACUCCUACGGGAGGCAGCAGUGGGGAAUAUUGCACGAUGGGCGCAAGCCUGAUGCAGCCAUGCCGCGUGUAUGAAGAAGGCCUUCGGGUUGUAAAGUACUUUCAGCGGGGAGGCGUUACCCGCAGAAGAAGCACCGGCUAACUCCGUGCCAGCAGCCGCGGUAAUAC
rnacentral:rRNA from 1 species